UACGAAGGGGGCUAGCGUUGCUCGGAAUUACUGGGCGUAAAGGGCGCGUAGGCGGAUAGUUAAGUCAGAGGUGAAAGCCCAGGGCUCAACCUUGGAACUGCCUUUGAUACUGGCUAUCUUGAGUUCGGGAGAGGUGUGUGGAACUCCGAGUGUAGAGGUGAAAUUCGUAGAUAUUCGGAAGAACACCAGUGGCGAAGGCGACACACUGGCCCGAUACUGACGCUGAGGCGCGAAAGCGUGGGGAGCAAACAGG
rnacentral:rRNA from 1 species